rnacentral:rRNA from 1 species
AGUGAACGCUGGCGGUAGGCCUAACACAUGCAAGUCGAACGGCAGCACAGUAAGAGCUUGCUCUUACGGGUGGCGAGUGGCGGACGGGUGAGGAAUACAUCGGAAUCUACUUUUUCGUGGGGGAUAACGUAGGGAAACUUACGCUAAUACCGCAUACGACCUACGGGUGAAAGCAGGGGAUCUUCGGACCUUGCGCGAUUGAAUGAGCCGAUGUCGGAUUAGCUAGUUGGCGGGGUAAAGGCCCACCAAGGCGACGAUCCGUAGCUGGUCUGAGAGGAUGAUCAGCCACACUGGAACUGAGACACGGUCCAGACUCCUACGGGAGGCAGCAGUGGGGAAUAUUGGACAAUGGGCGCAAGCCUGAUGCAGCCAUACCGCGUGGGUGAUGAAGGCCUUCGGGUUGUAAAGCCCUUUUGUUGGGAAAGAAAAGCAGCAGGUUAAUACCCCGCUGUUCUGACGGUACCCAAAGAAUAAGCACCGGCUAACUUCGUG